rnacentral:rRNA from 1 species
UGAAUUGACGGGGAGCACUACAACGGGUGGAGCCUGCGGUUUAAUUGGACUCAACGCCGGAAAACUCACCGGGGGCGACAGCAAUAUGUAGGUCAAGCUAAAGACUUUACCAGAAUCGCUGAGAGGAGGUGCAUGGCCGUCGUCAGUUCGUACUGUGAAGCAUCCUGUUAAGUCAGGCAACGAGCGAGACCCGUGCCCACUGUUGCCAGCAUGUCCUUCGGGAUGAUGGGUACUCUGUGGGACCGCCGAUGCUAAAUCGGAGGAAGGUGCGGGCUACGGUAGGUCAGUAUGCCCCGAAUCUCCCGGGCUACACGCGGGCUACAAUGACUGGGACAAUGGGCUCCUACCCCGAAAGGGGAUGGUAAUCUCAUAAACCCAGCCUUAGUUCGGAUCGAGGGCUGUAACCCGCCCUCGUGAAGCUGGAAUCCGUAGUAAUCGCGUUUCAACAUAGCGCGGUGAAUACGUCCCUGCUCCUU